ACUAAUCUGACUUAACCUAUCCUAAUUUGACCCGACUAGAUCUAACCUAACCUAAUCGAACGUAACCUAACCUAACCUGACCAAAUCUAACCUAACCUAACCUAACCUGACCAAAUCUAACCUAACCUAACCUAACCUAAUCGAACGUAACCUAACCCAACCCGACCAAAUCUAACCUAACCUAACCUAAACUAACUUUAUAUAUUUUAACCUGACCUAAUCUACCAUAUCCUGAAGUAACCUGAUCUAAUCUAACAUAAUAAAAACCUUUCUCUCUAUCUCUCUCCUCUCCUCUUCCUCCACCCUUCCCUCCACCACACCUUGUCACGCACAGGUGAGAUGAGACCAGGUGCAGCGUAACUCAUUAGUACAUUGGCCCUCACCUGAGUAGCGAACCUGAACGAGAGAUUGAGUUAAUGUUACCUGUGAGUGAUGAGUGGUGGUAUGUUGAAUAUCACCACCACUGUCACCACCACUGUCACUACCAUUGUCACCACCACUGUCACCACCACCAUCGCCAUGCACCACCACCACGCCCUUCGCUACGUGCAGGUCACCAGCUGUAUUUGUGAUCAUUGUCUGUUUUCUUUUAUUGGCUUUUUUCUUCUACGCACGUGCUGUUGCUUCUGUGACGAAUGAAUAUGGAAAAGUGGUUUUUGUUUUGGUUUUUAUAUUUAUUUUAUUUUUUUUCGGGAGGGCGCGCCGGAUGUCAUGGGCGGGUCAAAGGGCGGGUUGAUAUAUAAAAGGUGGAGUGUUUGCUGGCAACCACACUCGCUCCUGUCGAUCUGCCAGAACCUCGUCAAGCAUGAAGUUCUUGCUCGCCCUCCUGGUGGUGGCCUCCGUGGCAGCCGUGGCGCUGGCCGGUUACGGCUAUGGGGGCUAUGGCGGCUAUGGCGGCGGUUAUGGAGGCGGCUACGGCGGCGGAUACGGAUACGGUGGUGGUUAUGGAUAUGAGCGGUGGCCAUGGCGGUGGACACGGCGGUGGCUACGGACAUGGUGGCUACGGCGUUGGCGGAGUCUCCAACAACGUCUACAACCUGUACCGCGGCUACGGCGGGCUACGGAUACGGCGGCGGCCACGGUGGCGGCUAUGGCGGCGGCUACGGCGGCAGUUAUGGUGGAGGCUACGGCGGCGGCUAUGGUGGCGGCUAUGGUGGCGGCUACGGCGGCGGAUAUGGCUAUGGGAAGUAAGCAGGGAGGACGACGCGGGAAUCUCGACUGAGCAGCAGCAAGAACCGAGCCAGUGUGUUGUACAUAGACACGCACCGAAUAAACGAGAAACAACAA